ACUAUUUAUAGACAUAAUGAGCGAUUUUUAUGCUCUACCAGGGCACACUGGUAUAAAUCUUAGUUCUUCUCAUUACUCUAAAAAUCGAGGCUCUUAUAGAGCUGUUCAAGUAAGUGUAACAUCUAUGAUGCCACUGUUUAAAAAACAAGCCCAUUCAGUUGCAAUGAUCAGGUACUCGAUGGAUAAGACGAAAAAUGUGAUAAUUACGGGA
rnacentral:lncRNA from 1 species